GCUGUUUCUUACCUGUUUUGCCAGCCCCAACGUUACAUUACAGUAACAUUAGCAGCCCACACUUGCCACUAUUAUUUUUUACCUAGCCCAAUUUCCUAUACGCAUACCCUACCCGACUCUUUUCCUCUUCCAAAUCCCAACUCCUGCACCAGAAAAUUUCAGCGCCAACAUUCGACAGUUCAAGAGGCAUGUACAAAUCUCAAGCAGCAGCGAAUUGACGGAGAUACAUGGAGUUUCCUUUCCAACUCAUGGCAGGUCACGCCUUGUGCACACACUACUUAGACAGCUUUUCCUUUGUCGUAUAUCUCCAACGUCCCUUUCGAUCGGUAUGAAUUUGAAAAUGGCAGAAAGGCUCACGCGAAACCGUCCUUGAUAGUGUAAGAUCAAGCCACAAAGCUCCCCAAGGACGGGAGAUCGAUCUGAGGCUUUCAUUCUCCCCUUUCUUUUUGGAAAAGGCGGAAGAUUCAGAAAACAGACUGUUCAACCAAAAUUGGCGAUUCUUUUUUUUGAAUUUUGAAAGAAGGAACUCGAAAUGGGUCUGGUUUUGGACCCAUAUCCACCCCACCUUUCAAGAAUUUGAAACCCUAAUUUUACACUAUAUAUAGUCUCUUCAUUCUCUGAGAUAAGAGAUUUUUUUUGAGCCAUAAGACACAUAUAAAAGGAUACAACCUAAAAAAGGGACGGAGUGGCAGUGAAUUAAGAAAAUGUAGAGAAAGAAUUUAAAGAAAAAGAACAUUCUUAGAGUCAACUAGUGUUAGGGAAAAGCAAAAUAUACAAAAGAGAUUGAGGAUCUCGUUCCUUGCCUAGCUUCGGUGUUGUUUAUUUUGGUUCGUUACCAACCUUUUCAAAGUCGCGUUCCUAGUGGUGUUAAGGUUUCAGCCAUCCCUACUCGUCUUGUUCCCAGUUUCGCUGCCCGGAAAAGGACAGGUACAAAACAAGAGUGACAAAAAUCCAAGACAGGUGGGUCCAAAAACCGAUCCAGGCAAACAGAUAACCAGGAUUUGGACCAAAUCCUCUUUCCCUCUCUCUUAUUUCUAUUUUAUUUAUUUGUCGUUUGAUUGUCACUAGUCUUAUGGUUAAAGAAUUCAAAUCCCUGCAAAACACCGUAAAUAUUUUAUCUACUUAAAAUUUACUUCAAACUGAUUUUAUGGUAAAAGUAAAUAAAUUUACAAAUCAAUUUUUACUUA